AUGUCCUUUUGAUUUUAAUUUAAGGUUUGGUCUGCUCAAUGAUGAUUUAAAUUGCCGCAGUAUUUUGACUGUGCAAAGGUAGCAUAAUAAUUAGCUUCUUGAUUAGAAGCUGGAAUGAAUGAUUGGACGAGAAAAUUUCUGUCUCUAUUUAAUUGUUUAUUGAAUUUUAUUUUUAAGUUAAAAAGCUUAAAUGUGUGUAAAAGACGAGAAGACCCUAUAGAGUUUAAUAUUUAAGUCUUAUUUUAUAUUAGGAUUUUUUUUGAAAUUUGAGUAUUUAAUUGGGGUGAUUUAAAGAUUUAAAUAAUUCUUUAAUUUUUUAAUUGAUGAUAAUUAAAUUAUAAACCUAUAGUUUUAAGUUUAAUAUAAAUUACCUUAGGGAUAACAGCGUAAUUUUUCUUUAAAGUUCUUAUUAAAAGAAGAUUUUGCGACCUCGAUGUUGGAUUAAAAUUAAUUUUUGGUGCAGUAACUUAAAAAUUGGGUCUGUUCGACCCUUAAAAUUUUACAUGAUCUGAGUUUAAACCGGUGUAAGCCAGGUUGGAUUCUAUCUUUAAAUGGAUUAUAUAUUUUAGUACGAAAGGACCAAAUAUGUAUUAUAUUAAUUG
rnacentral:rRNA from 1 species